rnacentral:tRNA from 1 species
AAUUUUAUAGUUAAUAAAAUAACAUUAGAUUGCAAUUCUAAAAUUAUAAAUUAAUUGAUUUAUUAAAAUUU